AACUGAAUAUCAAUUUAAUAGUUUAAUUUUCGAACAAAUGUCUGUGCAAAACGAAGGAAAUGGUGCAUACCUUUCAAGGCCAAACUACACAUGGAGAAAACAACAACAAAAGCAAUUCCGGCAUUAGAUAGUAUCCAACAGAGAGUAUGAUGAAUUAUUUGAUUAUAAAGUUACAUGAUUGGAUAAAAAAUUUCCAGACCCCAAGCACCAAACCAGCUUCCUUCUACAGCAGCCAGUCACCGUUUAAACCCAAUGUCGAAAAAGAUUCUUAUAGCUUACAGAGGAAUAAGUGGAAGGGAAGCCGCCAGAGGUUGCCUUGAAAUCAAACUCUUUCCCAUACAGAAUUACACUAGUUAAGGGCUUGAACAGUUGCCCAAUUGCCGCACAAACACCACUUGCAACCAAAAACUAUAUAAAAAACACAGAGAUGACCACAAUGUUGAACUUCCAAGUCUUUAUGCUCCAAUAAAACAGAGAGUUUUAGCAAACCCCAUCAAUACAUGAUAAUUAAAUCCAGUAGCUGAUCAAGUUUAAAAAUAAAAAAGACAAUUUUUACAAGUAAUGAUUUGUAAUCAACUUCAUCAUACAUGCGUUCACAAUUCACACAUUUUGAUUUCCUAAAUCAAAUAGAGACUUGGUGAACCAUAUAUUGAACAUAUUCUCAACUUAUAGUCGCAGAUAGAAACUAGCAAGAAGGGGGAGCAAAGAAACCAUAUCCAAUCCCACCAAGACUAUUCAAAUGCAGAGUUUAUGCCCUAUCUUGAUGAUUUUGGGGCCAAUUAAACUUAUGAAUAUGUCAACUGGGUUUCUUCCAGUUGAAGUGUAGAUAUCUAACAUUGAGUAAGAAACAAAAACUGAGGCUUUAUCAGGUGGAAACCUAAACACUGAGCUUCUUGUUUGCUCUGACAUGUAUGAAACCCAAAACUCAAAACACCGGCAAACAAUAAACAACAUCCCUCAAAUGGAAAAAAUGCAAGCCAGCAGGCCAAUCACAUCACAUUUGAUGCAGCAAUUGCAGAAGCAAAUGAAGAAUUAUCAAGGAUAAUAUCACAUAACUGGCUCCCCAAAUUGAAAGUCGAGAAACCCAAAAACUAAACGAUAAAGCCCUAGAUUACAAAGAGAAACGAAAGCCCAUGGUGUAGAAGAAACCUGGAAAUCAGCGAUGGAACCAGAAGAAAUCUUUGAUAUGGAUUACGGACCAAAUUAAACAAUCUUUGAUUCGGAAAAUAAUUUAUAUACGGAUUACGGACCAAUUGUAUUCCAACACUACAAGAAAAAUGGUCUACGACAACAUCAUAUUUACAACAUAUUAUAAAUGUUCGUUGUUGCUUAUAGUUUUCCACAACGGGCAAACAAUGUGUGUUGUUAAAAACUGUAUACCACAACAUGCGUCAUUUGCAUGUUGUUAAUUUAGUUAUUGACAACUCACCUUACACGUUUUUAUUUUUAAGUUGUCAAUUAAAACAUUAACAAGUAUAAAUGCAUCUUGUUAAAUAUUUUCAAAACAACAACGUGCAGCGAACACUGUUAAAACUUUGAGAAAAAAGAUACAAGAAAACUUGCAGAACAAUUGUGCUCAACAAGCACCUGUGGGCUGUGGACUAAAGUCACUACAAACUCAACUCGAUCUUUCUCAAAGAAAAAAAGAGAAAAAGAAAAAAAAUAUUAAAAAAUCAGCCCUCUGAAUCCAUCAGAGAUCCAAAACGUAUAAAAUCCUGGGCUUGAAGAAUUGAACUCUGAAGCUCUAGACUCUCAUUCUCUCAAACGGCUUCGCCCUCACCAGCUUAAACCCUAAACCGCACGAAACGAUGUCGUGGCUUCCCUCCGCCGUCGCUCUCAAUUGCAUCGACGACUUCGCCAUGAAGCAAGACCACUUCUCCGGCGUCGCCGCCGUCGAGCACAUCCCGCUCAGCCACUUGGCCGACGGCAGGAUCGACUCUGCCUCGGCUGUGGUCCUCCAAUCAUUCGCGUACCUCCCACGUGCCGCCCAGCGUCAGCUACGUCCUUACCAGCUCAUCCUCUGCCUCGGCUCCGGCGACUGCGCCACUGACUCCACUUUCACUGCCGACCUCGGUUGUCAAUCUCCGAAGCAUUUCGAUGGCCGGAUUUCUGGCGUUUACGGCUACGAAGAUGAUGCAAAAUGUGGUAUGCCGACAUGGAUCUGCAAGGGGCUUACUUAUUUUCUUAUUUGCAGGCCUGGUUUACUUCUAUCUCUAAGGCUUUUGAUCUGUUGGAAAUGGUAAAGGCAAUCAAAGCUUUUCCAGCAGUCCAUGGAUGCUUAGAAAGGGGAUUCUUGCAGCAGGAGAAUCUGUUGCAACAUGGUCUUCCUGUUGUGCUCUAAGUAUCUAUCGCGCAGGCAUAGCUUUAGAUAUUACAGGUUUCGUUGGCCAAACCAGCUGCUAGGAUUCUUGAAGUUACUGGAAAAACUGCACAGAGCAUUAGAACCCGAUAGGAUCCAUUGAACUUCCUCUUAAUUUAUGAUAUUUGUAGUCACAACAAUGCUUGUUUUGUCAAUUACCAAUGAUCCACAAAGGAUUCAGUACUUUGUCUUGCAUUUUUUGUUAGGAAUAUAUCUAUUAGACAAUAUGGUACUCUUAAUGAAAUGUAUAUUUUUCUUUUA